rnacentral:rRNA from 1 species
UACGAAGGGGGCUAGCGUUGCUCGGAAUUACUGGGCGUAAAGCGCACGUAGGCGGCUUUCUAAGUCGGGGGUGAAAUCCUGGAGCUCAACUCCAGAACUGCCUUCGAUACUGGAGAGCUUGAGUCCGGGAGGAGGUGAGUGGAACUGCGAGUGUAGAGGUGAAAUUCGGUAGAAUUAUUCGCAAGAACACCAGUGGCGAAAGGCAGGCCUGCGCUG